UUCAAGAAACAUUGUUGCCCAGGAACUCAAUUGUCUUAGAGCUCCCUCUGAAACAGACCCUAGAACAAGCACUUAAGGGAAAUGGAGUUUAUUUGGGAGAUAAAGGAAAUACCAAGAGCAGAGCAGGAAAGUGAGUCAGAGAAAGGCAGGCAGCCAGUAAAGCCAGCAUUACCCAGAAGUUACCCUGCGGCCACUGGAACUCCAUCCACCGGGGACCACUGAAGCACAGUGACGCUCAUCCCCAGGGGCAAGAAAAUGGGAUAUUUAUACUACAAAUCUCGUACCUGCCUUUCAGCUAAUGCCAAGUGGAAAUGCUCUAAACAGAUGUUCUUCAUAAAACAUCUCAGAAACCAACCGGCUUUGUGGAAGGUGGUGGUCAGGUCUCAGAUCUACAAAGCAUUAGCAACACAACUCCGUUUUGUGAGUGCUCAUAGCUGAACGGUGGACGAGGAGGGAUGCUGAACCGGACGGAGCCACAAGCACCCACGAGAAUAGAAACAGAGGCGUGGAAGUGUGAACGCGAAGCUGGGGCUGCACAUUCUGGGGCCGGAUGUGAGGCAAGAAAGAAACCCAUAAAUUCUCAGACAAUAAGGUCAAGGAAAUAAAUUUUUUUUGAUAACAA